rnacentral:rRNA from 1 species
GAAACAGUGGCUAAGACUGGAUAGGAAGAUAAAAGGCAUCUUGUAUCUUUUAAAAGACCUAGUUAAUAGGUAUGCUUUAGGAGGGGCUUGCGCCAUAUUAGUUAGUUGGUAGGGUAAUGGCCUACCAAGACGAUGAUGUGUAGCUGGACUGAGAGGUUGAACAGCCACAUUGGGACUGAGACACGGCCCAAACUCCUACGGGAGGCAGCAGUAGGGAAUUUUCGGCAAUGGAGGAAACUCUGACCGAGCAACGCCGCGUGAAUGACGAAGUACUUCGGUAUGUAAAGUUCUUUUAUCGAGGAAGAAAAGCAAAUGGCGAACCAUUUGUUUGCCGGUACUUGAUGAAUAAGCCCCGGCUAAUUAUGUGCCAGCAGCCGCGGUAAGACAUAAGGGGCAAGUGCUAUCCGGAAUUAUUGGGCGUAAAGGGUGCGUAGGCGGUCUAGUAAGUCAGUGGUGUAAUGUCAACGCUUAACGUUGUCCGGCUAUUGAAACUGCUAAACUUGAGUUAGAUAGAGGCGAGUGGAAUUCCAUGUGUAGCGGUAAAAUGCGUAAAUAUAUGGAGGAACACCAGAGGCGUAGGCGGCUCGCUGGGUCUUAACUGACGCUGAGGCACGAAAGCGUGGGGAGCAAACAGGAUUAGAUACCCUGGUAGUCCACGCCGUAAACGAUGAGUACUAAGUGUCGGGUUAAACCGGUACUGAAGUUAACACAUUAAGUACUCCGCCUGAGUAGUACGUACGCAAGUAUGAAACUUAAAGGAAAUGACGGGACUCCGCACAAGCGGUGGAUCAUGUUGUUUAAUUCGAAGAUACCCGAAAAACCUUACCAGGUCUUGACAUGUUUUUGCAAAAUGAUAGUAAUAUCGUGGAGGUUACCAGAAACACAGGUGGUGCAUGGUUGUCGUCAGCUCGUGUCGUGAGAUGUUAGGUUAAGUCCUAAAACGAGCGAAACCCUUAUCGUUAGUUGCCAGCACGUUAUGGUGGGGACUUUAACGAGACUGCCAAUGAUAAAUUGGAGGAAGGUGAGGAUCACGUCAAAUCAGCAUGCCCCUUAUGACCUGGGCUACAAACGUGAUACAAUGGCUGUUACAAAGGGUAGCUGAAACGCAAGUUCUUGGCCAAUCCCCAAAAACAGUCCCAGUCCGGAUUGAAGUCUGCAACUCGACUUCAUGAAGUUGGAAUCGCUAGUAAUCGCGAAUCAGCAUGUCGCGGUGAAUACGUUCUCGGGGUUUGUACACACCGCCCGUCA